rnacentral:rRNA from 1 species
UCCGUAGGCGGGCGACUAAGUCAGAGGUGAAAUCCCACAGCUUAACUGUGGAACUGCCUUUGAUACUGGUUGUCUUGAGUUAUAGUGAAGUAGAUAGAAUAUGUAGUGUAGCGGUGAAAUGCUUAGAUAUUACAUAGAAUACCGAUUGCGAAGGCAGUCUACUAACUAUAUACUGACGCUAAUGGACGAAAGCGUAGGGAGCGAACAGGAUUAGAUACCCUGGUAGUCC